rnacentral:rRNA from 1 species
AUUGAACGCUGGCGGCAGGCCUAACACAUGCAAGUCGAGCGGAUGAAGGGAGCUUGCUCCUGGAUUCAGCGGCGGACGGGUGAGUAAUGCCUAGGAAUCUGCCUGGUAGUGGGGGAUAACGUCCGGACACGGGCGCUAAUACCGCAUACGUCCUGAGGGAGAAAGUGGGGGAUCUUCGGACCUCACGCUAUCAGAUGAGCCUAGGUCGGAUUAGCUAGUUGGUGGGGUAAAGGCCUACCAAGGCGACGAUCCGUAACUGGCCUGAGAGGAUGAUCAGUCACACUGGAACUGAGACACGGUCCAGACUCCUACGGGAGGCAGCAGUAGGGAAUCUUGGGCAAUGGGCGAAAGCCUGACCCAGCCAUGCCGCGUGUGUGAAGAAGGUCUUCGGAUUGUAAAGCUCUUUAAGUUGGGAAGAACGACAGUAAGUUAAUACCUGGCUGUCUUGACGUUACCAACAGAAUAAGCCCCGGCUAACUUCGUG